rnacentral:lncRNA from 1 species
CUCUAUGGUAGCCAUGAAUGUGAAGUUUCUUCCUUCUUAUGAUUGAUAUAACCUCAUGAUCCUGAAUCUUAUUACUUGCUUCUUUUUUGUCACUAUAAGGCAAAAACAAUCCACCACCAACAGCACCUGAAACCAUCUCCUCCUCCUCGUUGGGUAGAUCCACUGCUCAACUCUGGUACAGGUUUAGUAAGACCUGCCAGAAACAUAGAAUAAAGCCAUUAGGCCGAGACAACAACACUUGAAAAUAUAUUAAUGGGCAUAGAUAGACAGGCUAACAUUUUCCUCUCAAGGUUUCCCAGCAUUAAAAGAACGACCAUUUUCUUUCAAUUUUUGUAUUUCCCUUCUUUUCUCUCUCAGUUUCUAAUAAGUAAAAGUGUUUUAAGCGCUUACUUUCAUUUCUCUUUCUCUAGUAUUCAAGGCAACCAACCAUAGAAAUAAAUUCACACUGAUACAAACAGAAUAAUCCAAGUAUUAGAGGUCUACCUAAAUAACAAAUUUUAUAGGUACAUGCCUACAUGACAAUGAACUGAUAAAAAAAAAAUUAGCAUACUUGUGCAGCGGAAACAAGAGCAUGGUGGUAUAA